ACGGAGGGCGCGAGCGUUGUUCGGAAUCACUGGGCGUAAAGCGCGCGCAGGCGGGUCCGUGCGUCGGGAGUGAAAGCCCGGGGCUCAACCCCGGAUUGGCUCUCGAUACGGCGGGCCUAGGGACCGGUAGAGGCCGGUGGAAUUCCCGGUGUAGCGGUGGAAUGCGUAGAGAUCGGGAAGAACACCAGUGGCGAAGGCGGCCGGCUGGGCCGGAAGGCUCCCUUUGGGGAGUGUCCGACGCUCAUGCGCGAAAGCGUGGGGAGCAAACAGGA
rnacentral:rRNA from 1 species